AAUGGAACGGUUCAUUCUGAAAAUAUCAAAACUGGCCAUUUUGACAUUUAAUUUUUUUUUCAAAAAUGAACAAUUCAGCAAAAUCAACACAAAGUCACAAACCAUUUUGGUGUCACUCAAUCUCCAUUCUUUGCCNNNNNNNNNNNNNNNNNNNNGAAAAAAAAAGUUGUGUGUGAAAAGCUUUUUGCCUAACUCUGGCGUUAACUCUGCGUUGAAGAAAAGCCCAGAAAGUUCUGGCUGCUCCCGUUUGACGCUGAAUCGUUAGAAACGAUGUGUGCCCCUGAAUCCUCUCUAGAGGGGAUUUGCUUUUCCACUCACCCAAACAUAAUUCCCGUAAUACAAUAUAAAGUAAUGACUGUUACCUUAUCACAACUGGCCCCACUCGGGACUUUCCAGCAGCAAGAAACCGAAAGCGAAAGGUCUGACGUCACAGAGUUUUCACGCUGUUGCGGGGGCGAAAGGGGCUAACUCUAUAUAAGGAGGAGGCCGUAGGGAAGAUCCCACAUCACUUUUGGGACAAGCGAUCAGCACCGUGCCCCACUGGGCCUUUCUAAUUCUGCAGCCCAGCAUUUCGCCCGAGCUGAAUCGGAUCAUCCAGUGGACGUGGAACAGCCGUCGCUGCAGCCCCUGAAGUGAGAGACCAGACGUGGCACAAGCUCAGCAGCAUCUGAGAGAGCUUAUCUGGAGAAUUACUCUUGCUGAAGUGAACGUGCUACGUAGGUGCAAAGAUGAGUUGCCAGGAAAUAUUCGUGAGCAGCAUGUCACCACAUGGAAGAUUAUGCUCUACUUCUGAAGCAAAUGACUCUUACAGUAACCACACACCCCUAACUGAAGCAAAGAGACAAACUGCAGAAGCAGCAAAGCGGAGAGCAAUGGAGAUUCUGAGAGAUGCCCUGAAGAAGAAGGACCGAGUGCUGAUGGAGAAGCCCCAGGAUCUGUUUUUUGGUGAUAGCAGAGAUCCCAAAUUCUGGAUGGAACGCCAUGCGAUACUGACAGAAGAGUUAGUUCGAGAUCUCAUCUCAGAGCUGGAAGUUGUGAAGUUUAAGGAGGAUCUAACCAGGAAAUAUAUUUAUGCAUAUGUUUAUUCAAAGUCUGGAGACAAAACAGUGUAUUUGUGCCCAGAAUUCUGGAAGGCUUCUACAUAUCUUGGAGAAGGGUCUCAGCCAGGGACUCUUAUCCAUGAAGUGUCUCACUUCCUGGGGAUACGAGAUAUCGACUAUUCCAAAGCCAGUAUCUAUGUUGCCUGCAGAGGGAAGUUGGUAAAAAGCAAAUCAGACCCCAGUGCCCCAGAUCUGAAUCCCCUUGGGAAAGCACUAUUAAAUGCUAACAACAUCACAGAUGAAUUUGAAAUUACCCUAAAUCACAAAGGAAGAUACGAGAAUGGAAAAUACACCUGCUGUGGGGAAAAAGCCGUGAACUCAGUUUGUGAGAGAGCUGUGCCUGAUGAGUUUCUUAUUCACUAUUUCAGGGAAAGUGAGAAGAGGAAGAACAUUGGUGAAAUUAUGGAGGAGUCAUUACUGCCCACAGCAAAGAGACUGGAGAGUCACGUAACCCAACUUAGAAAGAUGGCAGAUGAAAUUGAUGAAACUCAUAAAAAUGCUACAAUAGCAAAGGCUCAUGCAGUGACAAGUUCAAACAAAAAGAACGAGGUGGAGAAGAUUUUAAAGGAAUGUCAGGAUAUGCUGAAAUGUAUUGAGAAGGAACUUUCCAAAAUCACUAAAGAGAUUAAAAAACCGGGAGAGGACAGUUAUAUUGUUUUGUUAGCAGAACUGUAUGAAUGGAUAAGAAUUGGUGAAAUCCUGGCAGGAAGUGUUCCAAGCAGUUUAACAGCGACAACUGCUUUAUUUGCUGCUGCAAUUUUAGUGAAUGAUUCUAAGAAACCUAUGGAAGGUGAGAAACUUGCAGCUGAAAUCCGAAGAGAAGCUGCAAAAAUGGAAGAAGUCAUUAAAAUAGUAAAUAAGUUUUAUGGAUCAGUAAGAAGAUUAUAGCUAGGCAAAACAACACUGCUUAUUUGCAGCAUGAAAUGAUUCAGCUGAAAUCGUUUAGGUACCUUCUCUCUAAGAAAGUUCAGAAUCCAAAUAAGGUUUGAUUGACAAUCUAUUGGGGAAACAGAUCACAUGUAGAACCUGCUGUAACUGCCCUUUCUUUAGAAGCCUAAGAACACAUCCCUGUAAAUAAAAGGUUCCACACCAUGUCUGACA
rnacentral:lncRNA from 1 species